rnacentral:rRNA from 1 species
UGGGGAAUAUUGCACAAUGGGCGCAAGCCUGAUGCAGCCAUGCCGCGUGUGUGAAGAAGGCCUUCGGGUUGUAAAGCACUUUCAGCGGGGAGGAAGGCGUUAAGGUUAAUAACCUUGGCGAUUGACGUUACCCGCAGAAGAAGCACCGGCUAACUCCGUGCCAGCAGCCGCGGUAAUACGGAGGGUGCAAGCGUUAAUCGGAAUUACUGGGCGUAAAGCGCACGCAGGCGGUCUGUCAAGUCGGAUGUGAAAUCCCCGGGCUCAACCUGGGAACUGCAUUGGAAACUGGCAGGCUAGAGUCUUGUAGAGGGGGUAGAAUUCCAGGUGUAGCGGUGAAAUGCGUAGAGAUCUGGAGGAAUACCGGUGGCGAAGGCGGCCCCCUGGACAAAGACUGACGCUCAGGUGCGAAAGCGUGGGGAGCAAACAGG